AGGACACCAAGACCCAGACGGUUAAGAAAUUUGCUGAAGUGCUGUGGUGAGGUUACAGUGUGGUUAUAAGAGCCUGUGGAGGGAAAUCUGGGAAACUACCUGGAGAAAAUCAUCUAAUCAGAGACCUGAAGGAACAGUAGGAACCAGCCAGGCAAAGGAAGGGUCCUUGGAGGAUCUUCCAAAAGACAACUUAACUCCUCAUAAAGCUUUCAACUUGGUACUUUUUUCUCAGCCAAAAAAAAAAAAAAAAAAAAAAAAAAAAAAAGGAAAAA